CUGUACAGUAGUAUUAAUUACAAGUAUUUUUUUUCUUUAAAUUAAGAGGAAAUUAUGUACGGAGUACUCCUUACAAAAAAAAAAAAAAUUAUAUAUGAGUAAUAAUGUACUACCAUUUACCCAAAUUGAAGCAUGCGCUCAUCACUUUCAAUAGAAUACCUUGAAAAAAAACAAAGUACUUCAAAAAGUGGAACCUCCACUGUCGACAUUCAGUAUUCAAAAAACCGCCAGCCGCUUACUAUUUCAUUCCACCGCCGGACCGCUGCUCCACCGCCGGACCGUUGCUCCACCGUCGCACAUCGUCUGCAGCACCACACCUGUUCGCUGAGCCAUUGAGGUCUCAAUAUCCUUCAUCAACCAACCCAGCAUAGCUGAAUGCAGAUAAUACUGUAAUGAAAGUGACUACAUCAGGUUUUAUACCUGGCCUAUACAUUUCAUGCUAGACCUAUUACAAACCUGGUUGCAGUGGUAGUGGAUAUUACGUUUGUCGCUACAUGAUUGAGACAAUUGAAUAAAGGCAAAUGAUCACCCCCGACAAGCAAUAUUUCAAGCAAGUUCCCCUGCAUUUUCUCAACAAAUGAUCGACGAGCUUAGGGAAAGGUGGAUUUCGUAUGUUACUGGAUACCAUCAACCAAAUGACGUCGUCAAUGAUUUAUGUGAAUUGUAGAUCAAUAUGGUAUUGGUAUAUCUAAGCAUAGUCUUUUUUUUUUUAAUAACCAUUAAUUAGAAAGGUGUUUUGAUACUUAACUCUCGUAUUUGUUGUAUAGUACAAAUUUCGGGUGAAUGAUUUAGUUUAAUUGUGGUUGGAUAUUUUAAAUUAUAUAUAUGAAAUAUAUUUUGAUGGUUUUGUUGUA